UGCCGAUGAUGUAUGAUGUAUUGUCCGUACCAUCUGAAAAGGUUUUUCCUUUGAUUAGUACUCGCAUCCAAUUUCUGAGGCAU